rnacentral:rRNA from 1 species
UACGUAGGGGGCAAGCGUUGUCCGGAUUUAUUGGGCGUAAAGAGCUCGUAGGCGGUUUGGUAAGUUGGAUGUGAAAUCUCCAGGCUCAACUUGGAGCGGCCAUUCGAUACUGCCAUGACUAGAGUUCGGUAGGGGAGUGUGGAAUUCCUGGUGGAGCGGUGAAAUGCGCAGAUAUCAGGAGGAACACCCGUAGCGAAGGCGGCACUCUGGGCCGGAACUGACGCUGAGGAGCGAAAGCGUGGGGAGCGAACAGG